GCCACAUGUGACAUAAAACUACAUUCCUUUGAAUAACAAAUUAUGAAAAUCAACGAUUCUUUUGGUAAAAAAUUAUCUCCUAUUAUUUUCUCAUAUUAUUUUCAUGUUACCAUAGCGACUAUUAAUAUUUUGAACAUGGACUACUUUAUGUUGAAUGGAAUUUCUAUACUUAAUCUGUUAAAAAGGGCGAGGGGUUGCUGCAUGCAUGUAUUUCUAGUCAGAAAAUAAGUUAAAUUCAGGUAAUUUCAUUGCUAUCCUCCAUAAAAAUAUGGGCAAGCUUUCAACUGCCCCCUGGAAAGCAUUAGCUCCGUACGCCUAUGGUUACCCAUGUCAAUUAAUCUGCAGGUGUGAAAGUAAAAUUGGCUUAUCUCGUUUGAACGUUCACUCAUGAAGCAUAUACUAACUUCAAUCUACAAUAUUUGUAUUUAAUUUUCAGCUACAGUGUGAAUGGACCAGUCUCUGGUACAGCAUAUAAUGCAACUGCGUUCAUUGGGUGUGACCAAGGCAAGGCAAGUCUCGAACAAAAUACGAAAAUACGUUACUAUAUAUAGAAUCGUGAAUAAAAGAAAAGAUAUACAUCUUUUUAGGAGUGUUCAAUAGACAAAUCUGUUUAAUAUUUUUAAUUCUUACCUUUAAAAAAACUUCCUCUAUAGUGCUGUGCUUGUUAUGGGCCAAUUACUAGUACGAAGGACUACUGUACUGAGAAAUGUCAAGCGAUUAAUGGUGGAACAGUUUCAAAAAACGUGCACGUGUGGUUCUGGGUGCGUUCCAUGCUACCAAAAAGAGUAUGGAGAAAAUGUAUGGAAUUUCAAAGUCAGGGAGACAAUGAUCAACUUGAAUGGUAUAAGUUAAUAGCAGGAGAUCCAACGCCAGUUAAGGUACGUUCAUUUACAAAUAUACUGCGUGGACAAGCUUUGGACGUCCAUUUUGGGACAUUGAUCCUAUGCAUGAACAUACAAGGAAGUAAUAUAAUUUAAAAUUAUUUAUUUAUUAAGCUUUCAUAGACAAAUAAUUAAUUAGCUUGCAUGUCAAUUAGAUGCAAAUUGCCACUUUAGUUCACGUGUCAUGACAUAUGCUUUGUUUAGCUAGUAGCGAACAAAGAAUUUGUUAUUACACGUGAACUGAAUUUAAUUGCCAUACAAGCUAAAUUUGUCUAUUGUACAAUGCAAUGUUUGAGAAAACAUAUGAAUAUAAAUUAGGCGAGAUUACAACAGGUCAGUUUACAUCCGCCAAAGUAAACUGUAAAACUGCCAUAAUUAUAUAAUUAUGUCUCAAUCAAUUCCAUG